AGGACAUGUAAGGGUUUGCAAUUCCAAGCAGAUACAAACAGAACAGUCAUAGACAUUUGAGCUGGCAAUCACUCUUUUGAUGCAAGCAUACGAAGAUGUUGGGUCUUGAAUUGGGUUUCCUUUCGCUCAAUUCGAACCAGUUCAAUGAGGGCUAUGGAACUGCAGAAGCACUCCAGAAUCACAAGGCAAAAUGGCACAAAUCAUGUCAAACAAAUUUUCAGACCUCAAAAUAUUUUAUCAGCAAAAGGGAAAACAUACUUCUGAUGUUGAAGAUAAGUUGCCAAUUGAAAGGAAACAAUAAGUGACCAGACACUGUAAAGUGGAACUGGA
rnacentral:lncRNA from 1 species